CGACAAGGCGAGCUGCCUUUCUCCCCACAAGCCCAAAAAGGCGAUGACCCUCCCCAGGCCGCGCUCGCGCUGAACCUCUGUUGCUGAGCUGCAGUUCCUGGAGGUGUCCUGUCGCUCAAACGUGGGGACGCGGGAAAAAGAUUGAGAAGACACGGUAUGUGUGGAUGUUGUAACAGGGUUUGAAGGAAGUACAUCUCACACAACUCACAUGUGAGAACCCAAUCAUCACAUUUAUGAAACACAAAAGGAUAAGCAUUUUAAAAUUUGUAAUUUGUGGAUUUUUCUCAUUCCAAGUAAAUAGUUGUUUACAUACCCAAUUUUUUAUCUGUGUUUUUGUUUUAAUUUUUUAUUUCUUUUUUAUUUUUUCUAUUUUCUAGACAACCAAUUUUUUAUUCCUAACUUUGCAUUCUUUUUCUUAAAGAAAGCCUUUGCCAAAUUGUGUAAGCUCCUACCCCUGGUGAUCAGGCAAUAGUCACAAUCAGUCAAAACUGCAAAUGAUAUUUACCAAUUUGGUUACCUUGGAAGUUCUUUCAAUGUCAGGCUUUAAAACGGCAAGAGUAUUCACUGAGGAGAAUUGAAGCCACUUUAUUGAAUGCCCUACAUAGUUUGUUAGGUGAACAUAACCUAAUGUUAAAAUAGAACACUUCUCACCUCAGUUUCUCCAGAGGGACUGACAUUGUAGCUCUCAGGUACCAAUGUGUGCAUGGGACAGAACACCGUAAGAGGAAUCUAAAACAAAACAAACCCUGAUGGGUUUGGUUUCAACAUUCAAGGUCAUUUAUCCAAGGGCUUCUUUCUCUCUUCAAGAAUAGAAAAGAUUUGUUGCAGAGUAAGAAGAAAGAAGAAAAAUUCUAGUGAGAAGGAUUUUUUGGAAGUUUUUGCUGUAAGCCUGAAGUCCUGUAUCUCAAGAGGAAUUAAGGGGUGAGGGGACACCUGAACCUCCCUCAAGUUUUGAGGGCCUUCAACACGGCCAUUCUGAGAGUCUAAUGUGAGUCACCUGAAGUUUGAAAGACAGUGAGCUGAGGGCUGAUUUCUGCCCCAGAAAAUCUGUAGAGUAAGAGAGAAGCUGGCCAAUUGUGUUGAGGAUGAUGAAGCCAAAGCAAGUAGCUGCUACCUCUGGGAAAUUCCUGCAACCCCAAGCCCCUGCAGUGGAAGGACAAGGCGUGGUCCCCCAGUGUACGACAGGAUAGAGGACCAGCGAUCCUGAGGCUGUGUGAGGCUCUAUCAGAGAGGACCUCCUAGAAGGGGCAAUGGGACUCCACAGUGUGUGGGGGUGGAUCCUCUAAAGUGGGGAGCUGUCAGCAGAAGAAGGGGCAUCAACACAGCUCCAGAGAUCCCACAGAGGGGGUACCCCCCAAAAGAGUGCUCAAGAGAAUAUCAGCUUUAAAUGUCAGCCCACACUCAGCACCAAGUCAAAUUAUGGCAGAUAGGGCUGAGUAAGAAAAUUCCCUUCUACUAUUUUUGAUUCCUCUCUUUAUGUCCCAACCCUAGGGGCAAGCCUAAUGAGGAAGAGGAGCAGGAAAAGAGAAAUGAAGGACCAAGCCUUCCUCUCUCACUGCAGGCAGCCAGCUCAUACUGGGGCUGCCCAAGAAAGGGAGACAAUUCAACAUUAAAUAAAAUUCAAAGUUUUAGAUUUUUCCAGGGCUCGAUAUUCUAAUGUGUGGAUUGGGCUGUGUUUGUAACUUAAAAUGACCACAAGACAGACUGUAAAUUACCUUGGGGUGAACUGUAUUCAUCCAAGGCAGGAAAAGAUUACCAUACAAAAUAAACUUUAUAGGAUCAAUAAGAA